UCUUCGCACGCGGGGGCGCCGGUGGAUGUGGGCCUCAUAUCGGUGUGUAUAACGAAGAGAGAAAGAGAUCAACGGCGGAGGGGGUGAAGGGAGAGUUUGGAAAAUGCAUCUACAGGGCGCGGUACAGGGACACGUGGUAUACGAGAAAUGGCGACACAUUCGUGUUCCAGUCUCGAUCGCAAUACACAGCCUGUUCCAGGAGGAGGAGGAGGAGGACGACGACGGCGACGCUCAACCGUGGUCCGCGCGUGGUAAUUGCGGAACGGGUAUAUACGUGUGAAGGGGGAAACAGAGAGAAAGAGAGACACCGAGAGGGAGAGAGCGGUUGAAGAGUCUGGUGUUUCGAGGGGAUCAAUACGGGAGGCAUUUAGUUUCAAAAUGGUGGGGAAUCAUCGUCAUCGCCUAGCAGCGAUGGUCAUCGCUUCGGUCCAACAACUAUUCCGGCGCCAUGCGAGGGCUAAAUCUUUGCCGAUGUCUGCCUGCCUGCCUGCCUGCCCACCGCUUCGUUCAUUUUUAUCAAACAUCAAAAAAUCUUUCGCUGCGAACGAAAUUCAGUCAAAGGGAUACAAAAGUACAGAAUUAUUGGGAAUGGGGGCGAUUGCAGAGCCUUAUUUACAUUGAAAUUAUUCACCCUUGUGUGCAUUUGCAAUCAUGAGAAUUUAACUCAACAUUAAAUCCUUGUCCCGGGUCACUGAUUUUCAAUGAUGCGUCGAGAGCCGUUCCUCCGUCAUUGCAAUUUUUGUUUUAUGGGACCAGGUAACUAAAAAUUAUCGUCAUCAACGGUUUGUGACUGUGUAGCGAUUAAACGAACCUGCAGGUGCAUUCGUUCGUUCAAUGGAGUAUUGAUGAAACGAAACCAUUGUUGUUAAAAACAGACAAUGAAGGGCGAAACAAGAAGGGGGCAAAUUUUAAGGGCCACCAACAACUGAACGACUCGAUUCGAUUCGAUCGAGAGCAGAAUCUCACCGCUGGGCAGUAAAAAAUUGAGAAUUUCAGACAAGUCGACGGAAAGGGGGUUGAACGUUGGGGCUUCGAGAGAGGCUCGUUGAUAUUUCUUUUCUCAUGGGAAAUCCGUCAUUUCAAUUUGCUCUUGCAACGUCAGCGUUCUCUGAUUUGUAGCGUGAAUAAUUGUGGCUUUCGUACUUGAGUCAUACCCAAUCGUAAAAUAGCUGAAUAUAUAAUUGGAUUUGUUUACAGAAACAUGUAAUUAGUAGCAUAGAAUAAUUGUAUAUAGUUAAUAAAAAAUGUUGUUGAAA